rnacentral:rRNA from 1 species
CAUAGUUUACUGGAUAUAGUCUUACAUGGAUAACUGUGGUAAUUCUACAGCUAAUACACGCAUCAAAACCCAACCUUACGGUGGGGUGCGUUUGUUACUUCAAACCAAUCGGACUUUUGUCUGAUGUCAAGUGAUAUUGAACAAUUUAGCUGAUCGCACGGUCUACGAACCGGCGACAUAUCCUUCAAAUGUCUGCCUUAUCAACUUUCGAUGGUAGAUUAUGCGCCUACCAUGGUUGUAACGGGUAACGGAGAAUCAGGGUUUGAUUCCGGAGAGGGAGCCUGAGAAACGGCUACCACA